GGUUCCUACGGGAGGCAGCAGUGGGGAAUAUUGCGCAAUGGGGGAAACCCUGACGCAGCAACGCCGCGUGCGGGAUGAAGGCGUUCGGGGUGUAAACCGCUUUCAGCAGGGAAGAUAAUGACGGUACCUGCAGAAGAAGCCCCGGCUAACUACGUGCCAGCAGCCGCGGUAAUCCGUAGGGGGCGAGCGUUAUCCGGAUUCACUGGGUGUAAAGGGAGCGUAGACGGCCGUGCAAGCCAGGCGUG
rnacentral:rRNA from 1 species